rnacentral:rRNA from 1 species
CGUAGUUUGAUCAUGGCUCAGUAUUGAACGCUGGCGGCAUGCCUUACACAUGCAAGUCGAACGGCAGCACGGGGGCAACCCUGGUGGCGAGUAGCGAACGGGUGAGUAAUACAUCGGAAUGUACCCAGUAGUGGGGGAUAACUAGUCGAAAGAUUAGCUAAUACCGCAUACGCACUAUGGUGGAAAGCGGGGGAUCGCGAGACCUCGCGCUAUUGGAGCAGCCGAUGUCCGAUUAGGUAGUUGGUGGGGUAAAGGCCUACCAAGCCUGCGAUCGGUAACUGGUCUGAGAGGACGACCAGUCACACUGGGACUGAGACACGGCCCAGACUCCUACGGGAGGCAGCAGUGGGGAAUUUUUGGACAAUGGGGGAAACCCUGAUCCAGCAAUGCCGCGUGUGUGACGAAGGCCUUCGGGUUGUAAAGCACUUUUGGCGGGAACGAAACGGCGCUUUCUAAUACAGAGCGCUAAUGACGGUACCCGCAGAAUAAGCACCGGCUAACUACGUG